rnacentral:lncRNA from 1 species
GAGGUGUGUAUGAGACAUCCAGCAAGCGAAGAUGGGAGAAUGUGAGUGGGCCUGUGUGUGGGGGCUCAGGAAGUAAUGUGCUCUGAAUUCAGAUAAGGACAGCAUUGGGCGUUUGUGAGGCUAAAACUAGGAGUUGAUGUGGCCUUCUUAUGAAACCUAACUCUAUGGAGUGAAAUCUGUAAGGCCAUGGGGGUGGGUGUACCCACUCUCAAAGGAAAGCAAAUCCCUAUGUCAAAACACAAUUUGCAAAGCGAAACAAAAUUGGCUUUUUCUGGUUCAAUCCAGAAUGAGUUCAUGGGGCCCAUUUUUUGACGUAGCCUUGGGAUGGGGUUCCCUUGAAUCCAGUUUCAGAGCUACCAUCUAUGGGGAGGAGAAAAUGGCAAGGAGAAGAAAGGGUUAACUACCACACCAGAGCUGAAAGAAUGUGGUUACAAGGUCUCAAGCAAGGUCAGUCCCUAACUUUAGCUGGGAGGGUUGUUUGCUCUUUAAAGCACUCUUGAACCGUGAAUUCUUUUGGAAGUCUCAGCUAGUCAUAAUCUGUUCUGAGCCUUUCCCAUUCAGAUGUCUUUCCCAGCAGCUAGACAGCAGGCUACCGUGUCCAGAAGCCAUACAGCCACCCAGGGUCAGCUGAGUGCUCUGGCUAAUAUUGAUCUGCAAGUCUGUGUACAAUGGUGUUAAUGUGUAUCGGCAAAGAGUUGUCAUGUACACAUCUGCUGAGUCAUUAGUGUGGAGAUAACCAUAUUUGUCAAAGUUCCCAAAGAGAAUUAAUCACAUGGGACUUAGAUGGUUACUUUCUACUCAAACGGUUGUUCAACAAAAAUUAUCUUAAGUAUUCAAAUUGCAAGAUUCUGGAAAAGUUGAAUUGGUUAAACUUUUUCUCCUAAUUAAUCAAGUCUGAUUGUCAUUUCAACAUAGUGAAGGCUUUAUUCCUACGUCCACCUACAGACACCUUAAUUUAGUCACGGAGACAGAACUACAGGCUAGGGGGAUGAUUCCAUGGGUAAAUGCUUACUAUGAAAAUAUUUGAACCUGAGUCAGAUCCACAGCACCCAUUUAAGAGCUAGGCACACUGGCAUACAUCUGUAAGUCUAACCCCAGGGAUGUGGAGACUGGUGGAUCCCCAGAGCUCACUAUCCAUCAGUGUAACUCAACCGAAAGAUAAGGGGAGACACUUAGUAUAAACCUCUGGCUAACAUACACACACACACACACAGACACACAGACACACAGACACACACACACACACACACACACACACACGCACAUGCACACAACACAACACACACACACUGAGAAAUAAUAGGAACAAGAAAGGGGGCAAAGAUAAAAGAACAGGCAAUGGACAAUGUAUUGAGAGCCACUAGACAUAAAUAUUCAAACUUUAUUGACUUAAGAUAAUGAAAUUUUAUUUCUUAACUUCUCAAAGUUCACAGUCACAUGCACAUAUAUGAUUGGCAUGUGGCCACUUGUUUUGUGACUUUGACUCUCUUUAGGGGACUGUUUGAAUCCUGUGUCACUCAGGAAACAGAGUCACACAGAACUUUCAAAGGGACAGAGGAAGGAAAGUACCUCAUUCUGAACAUACUCCACGGGACAGAGCAAGUCCCAGGCUACACCCAGUGUACAAGAGUUCUGGGAGAGACAGGCUCCAGAGUCUCAGAUAAACAGGCCAAAGAGAAUGUCCUUCCCCUAUGGGGAAGCCUCCAUUCUUAAAUAGCAUUUAAAAUACUUUACUUCAAACAUGAAAUGAAAUGAAGUGUGUAUGUGUUUGAUGCAGCUAUGCAUUGUUAUAUAAACAUGUUCUUUACAAACUUCAUAUGAAAACUUCUUCAUUCUUAUCCAAAAUAAUAAAAAAGGAGUCUUUUGUAAAAGCUAGACACAUACCCACUGAGUCAUAGAAUAAUUGGAAUUCUGACAGAAAGGUAACUGUAAAGUAGUUCUUUAAAAAGGAACACCACUCUGCUUUAUUUAAACCCCACAAAGUAGGUAAAUGUUUUAUGGGUCAUGGAUCUUCAAACACAGGCAUUAUGUAACAUGGGGCUCGGCUUUGAGUGUGUUUCUUCUUUGUCCUUCUUGCACACAGUGUACACGCUGCCUGCUUUCAUCCUGAGGUCUGGGAGGCUAUUGGGUUAGACCUCCUGAAAAGAAAGGUUACUUGACACCAGGUAUAAGGAACGGCUUUGAUGAAUCACAGAAUUAAAGCGUUCAGUUCUUGGCAGGGGGAGCUUCUAGCCAAUGCAUUGAAAGGACAACCAUAUCCCCACCUGCUUGGAGACAGAACUACAGAUCUCAGCUGGCUUUCUGCAGACAGGACAGGUCACUGACUGGUUGUCUAAUAGACAACUUUUAAGCAGCAUCAGCAGACAAAAUGUUUCAUUCCUCAAAGAAGAAGUAGAAUAAAGGCCAGUAAGCUUGCAUCCUAUGGAGAAUGUAAGUAAAGAUGGCUUGAUCUAGCAAAAGUGUUCUUAUCUGGAAUUCUCCUUGAAGCACUUCCCAAAAUCAACCAGCCAAACAAAGAGUGGAAUAUAAUUUUUUAAUGUGCCCCAAAGGGAAAAAAACCACUAAGUUUUUUUUUUUUAUUCUUUGUCAUAUGCCAUUGGUUCAUAGUCCUGAGGUAUAUCUGAUAAGAAAAAUGUUACCUCAGAAAAUAAAAAUGUUCCUUAAAAAACAUGGCCUAAUCGAAUUUACCUUAGCUGAGGGUCAGAACUGAGCCAUCCCUUCCACCAAGUAUUUUUGCUUUUUCCUUUUUAACCGAACAGAACACACUGCUUCGGCAGUAUUCUGCUGUGGUUUAUAUCUGAAUUGAUCCUUCAAUAAUUGGAAGAGCUUUAAAUUUAAUAAAAAGGAGUUCUCAGACAAGCGUGGUGGUGGCAGGUAGCUCAGAUCUACACUCCCAGCUGCUCAAGAAAAGUAGGAAAAAAAAUAAAAACAGGACUGGAGAUGUAACUCAGUGGGUCUAGGGCUAUAAUAUCAGUGAUAGGCCAAGACCCCGUGUCAGAUCCCCAGAAACACACACACACACACACACACACACACAUCGAGGGGGUAAGUGAGAGGGAAAAGAAAGACAGAACCUUGGUAGAUGUUUUCCCUUUUGGGGCAUAUAAAACAUGCUUGGCUGGUUGAUUUUGAUUUCUUGAGACAGACUCUUGCUAUGUAGACCAGGCCAGCUUCAAACUUGAAAUCCUUUUACCUCCAUCACCCAAGUCCUGGGAUGAUGAUGUGUACCAAGACAUCUUGCUUCAUCCAAAGGCCUUCUGCCAGAAUUCAGCCAGCAGAGUUUACAUUUUCAUCUUGAGCCAUUCUGAUGAAAUGCCCACUGCAGAUACCACAGUGGAACCUGUUUGCCUCCAACUGUUCAGGACUAUACAGAGUAUGAUCUACAACACCAGAGUACCUGAGGACAAGAGCCAAAAUUAUUGAUCAAUAAAAGAAUGAACCAGUUCUUUCAG